GUCCUUUUGUUAUUAAUUUAAGGUCUGACCUGCCCACUGAUUUAUUUUGAAGGGCCGCAGUAAUUUGACUGUGCAAAGGUAGCAUAAUCAUUAGUUUUUUAAUUAAAAGCUUGUAUGAAGGGUUGGACGAGGUAAAAUCUGUCUCUAUUUAAUUUAUAAUAGAAUUUAAUUUUUAAGUUAAAAAGCUUAAAUUUAUUUAAAAGACGAGAAGACCCUAUAGAUCUUUAUAAAAAUUUUAUUUAUUUUAUUAAAGAAUAUUUUAUUUAUAAUUAAAUUUUUUAUUUUAUUGGGGUAAUAAAAAGAUUAAACUAAUUCUUUUUUUAUUUAAACAUUUAUUUAUGAUUAAUUGAUCCAAUAUUUUUGAUUAAAAGAUUAAGUUACCUUAGGGAUAACAGCGUAAUUUUUUUAGAGAGUUCAUAUCGAUAAAAAAGUUUGCGACCUCGAUGUUGGAUUAAAAAUUAUCUUAGGUGCAGAAGUUUAAGAUUUUGGUCUGUUCGACCAUUAAAUUUUU
rnacentral:rRNA from 1 species